ensembl:misc_RNA Metazoa_SRP Metazoan signal recognition particle RNA
GCCAGGCGUGGUAGCGUGUGUCUGCAGUCCCAGCUACUCGGGAGGCUGAGGUGGGAGGAUUGCUUGAGCCCAGGAGUUCUGGGCUAUAGUGCACUAUGCCAAUCAGGUGUCUGCACUAAGUUCAGCAUCAAUAUGGUGACCUCCCGGGAGCAGGAGACCACCAGGUUGCCUAAGGAGGGGUGAACUGGCCCAGGUUGGAAAUGGAGCAGGUCAAAACUCCCAUGCUGAUCAGUAGUGGGAUCACAGCUGUGAACAGCCACUGCACUCCAGCCUGGGCAACAUAGCGGAGU